rnacentral:lncRNA from 1 species
GAUAACAUUAGUUUUGAUUUUUAUGUUUUUCCUUUAAAUUUAAUUGCAUAAUUUAAAUAACAUAUUUUUGUUAGUUAAAUACGCCAUUAAACAUAAAAUUUAAAUUCACCUAAAACAUAAAAAAAAAUUACAUAAAAAUUUAAAAACACCUAAAACAUAAAAAAAAAAUUACAUAAAAAUUAAAAACACCUAAAACAUAAAAAAAAAUUACAUAAAAAUUAAAAACACCUAAAACAUCAUAUUACGUCCUAGUCUAGACCACGACGCCUGAGCACGUCGGCGACCAUGGACGCGUGCAAUGCCCUUUGU